rnacentral:rRNA from 1 species
UGCAUGUCUCAGUGCAAGCCAAAAUAAGGUGAAACCGCAAAUGGCUCAUUAAAUCAGUUAUGGUUCAUUAGAUGAUACACCACAUUACUUGGAUAACUGUGGUAAUUCUAGAGCUAAUACAUGCAAACAGAGUUCCCACCGGAGACGGUAGGAACGCUUUUAUUAGAUCAAAACCAAUACGUUCGUUUCGGCGAGCGAUUCCAUUGGUGACUCUGAAUAACUUUUUGAUGAUCGCAUGGUCCUUGUACCGGCGACAAAUCUUUCAAAUGUCUGCCUUAUCAACUGUCGAUGGUAGGCUCUGCGCCUACCAUGGUUGUAACGGGUGACGGGGAAUCAGGGUUCGAUUCCGGAGAGGGAGCCUGAGAAACGGCUACCACAUCCAAGGAAGGCAGCAGGCGCGCAAAUUACCCACUCCCGGCACGGGGAGGUAGUGACGAAAAAUAACGAUACGGGACUCAUCCGAGGCCCCGUAAUCGGAAUGAGCACACUUUAAAUACUUUAACAAGUAUCCAUUGGAGGGCAAGUCUGGUGCCAGCAGCCGCGGUAAUUCCAGCUCCAAUAGCGUAUAUUAAAGUUGUUGCGGUUAAAAAGCUCGUAGUUGGGACUGUGUCCCGCACUGUCGGUGCGCCAUUUAUGGUGUUUACUGACAUGCUGCGGGACGUC